AACUAAUCAACCUAAGGUUAACUUUUGCAUAAUUGUCUUUGACAUUAAAUUACUUGAAACCCAAGUUUGGACUGGAUUAGCCAAGCUAAACUUAAAACUCUAACGUUCAUUCGUCCCUCUAAUUUGUUCAUCUGUUCUCUUCUUUAAAUGUUGACAACCCUUACGAAGAAUCCUGCAUACGCCACUGCACAAGAGGAGCUUCACUGUUCAGAGAUGGUAAUUUUGUUUGAAUCAUAACAGCAAACAGGAUGUGAACUCCUCUCAGCUAAGGUUGGAUGCGAAGGAAAUCAAGGACUGGAGGGAGUGGGCAAAUGAUGAUGACUCAAUUAGCAAGCAAUCGGCAGAGCGUAGCACAGAAUUCAGCGGCAAAUUCAUGGGCAGAACAAGUCGAAGCAGAGGAAUCAAAUUGGUCUGUCAAAGGUACGAAUAAAACCCUAAACCCUAAAAUUUCUUCGAGUAAUAUGGUUGGUAAAACACCCUCAACAGUAGGGUAUGACUUCACUGAGAAUUCACUUAAAGCUAAUGUCAAAUAACCCUAGAUGACAUUAAGGAGGAAGUUGAAUAUUGGGGAACAACAGUAGUAUGUUAUGUGCUGGGCUUUAACCCUCCACUUACAAUAAUUGAAAGGUAUUGAAUAGAAUUUGGGGAAAAUUAGGCAUCGACAAAAUUUCCCAAACGAGCAGAGGGGUAUUCCUAGUAAGUUGAAAGCAUGGAAAGCAGGAACAUAAUGAUUUAGGGGGGCGUACAGAUGUUCGACAGGAAACUAGUGGUGGUGAAAGGGUGGAGACCAGAGGUAGAGCUGAGCAAGAUGAUGCUGGAAAAAGCACCAAUUUGGAUCAGACUAGAGGGGUUGGAUUUCAAAUACUGGGGGCAAAAAGCUCUCUCGAAAAUUGCAGGACUGAUUGGCAAACAUUUGAAGACUGAUAGUGGAACACCCAUGAGAGGAAGACCGAUGUAUGCUAGAGUAAUGAUGGAAGUGUCUCUAAAUAAAACAUAUCCUGAUUUAGUGAUGUUUGAGAAUGAGAAGAGGCAAAUUAUUGAGCAGCAAGUACAUUAUGAAUGGAAGCUCGUAUUGUGUUCUCAUUGCAAAAACUUUGGUCAUACACAACGUGAAUGCAGGAAACUUAACAAAGCAGGGGAGGCAGGGGGAAACAAGUGGAAAAUCCAGUCCAACACAGAACCAACAAUGAAAAUGCGCAAAUUGAUGGAACAUGAUUCACAAAUAUUACACACAAUAAUUUUAGUAAGGCCAAACAAAACAAUACAGGUAGAGGAACAUCUAUCAGAACAGGAAAUUCAUUUGCAACACUUACUGAGAAGGGGGAAAAUGAUCCAAAAGAGAAUGACAAAGCUAGUACAUCCAAAGCUACUACACCUAGCCCUAAAGGUGGAGAGGCUGAUAUGGUUCCAAUAACUGGGAAGGGUGGGGAAAACCCCGUCCAAUGGAUAAGAUUGAUUUUUAGAACACCAAGGGUUUAAAUAGACCAACAAAGCAAAAAGAGACGAAUCUCUUCUUGCAUAAUAGUCAAACUGGUCUAUUUGGACUCCUGGAAACAGAAACAAAGCUCAGAGAAAAUCUCUUAACCUAUGUAAUGGACGGUGAUUUACUACUAACUUGUCUCAACACCCUGGUGGGAGGAUAUGGUUGCUAUGGAAACUAAUAGUAUAAAAUGUUAAUAUUGUUAUAAUGACAUCACAAGUAGUGCACUGUGAAGUACAACAUAGAGGAACCAUAAAGCAGUUUAGUUUGAGUAUGGUAUGUGAAUUUAAUGAUCAAGCAUUGAGGAUAGAACUUUGACAAGACCUGGUGGGUAUCUAUAGCAAUGUCCAAGGGCCAUGGGUAGUUGUGUCCUGCAUAGGAAUGAGAGAGCGGGCAGUCUUGUGGUUGUAGCUGAGAUUAGAGAAUUUAAGAAGUGUACUGUAGACUGUGGCCUUCAAGAGCUAAAAUCAUCUGGAUCAGUUUACAUAUGGAAUAAUAAACAUAGGGAUUCCAGCAGAGUAUACAACAGAAUUGAUAGACUUCUUGUAAAUGGGGACCGGAUCACUACAGUGCCAGAUUCAGAGGUUUAUUUUGCAAAUGAAGGUGUAUAUGAUCAUUGCCCUGCAAUCAUUAAUUGGGAAAAUGGAACACCAAUAAAUGCAAACAAAUUUAGAUACUUCAACAUGUGAAGCAUAGCCCCUGACUUCAAAGAGAAGGUGCAGGGGAAUUGGGAGAGGAGAAUCACAUGGACAAAAAUAUAUCAAAUGGUUAGCAAACUGAAUAGACUCAAAGGGUACUUUAAGGGGAAUCAAUAAAUAAAGAUUCAGUGAGAUGGAGAAAAGGGCAGAACAAGCACAUGAGAAGCUGCUACAAUGCCAGACUAAACUGCAAAGAGAUCCCAGAGACACACAGUUGAUAACUGAUAAAGGACUAUACUGACUGGAACAUGGCUAGAACAAAGUUUCAACAGUAGAAAUGUAAAGUAAAUUGGCUACAUUAUGGAGACUUGAACACAAUAUUCUUCCACAGUGUUUUAAAAGCAAGAAGAAGUGCAAAUAGAAUUUUCAACAUUAGGCAUGCUGCAGGAAAUACUAUAACAUAUGUACAGGGGAUAGCAAAGACGUUUGUGGACUACUACACUGAGCUAUUAGGAACUUCAAACCUCAAGGUCCGCUUGUCUCUAUAGAGCAAAGGAGAUGUUGGCAAGGGAAAUUGAGGAGAUUGAGGUAAAACAGGCGUUAUGAGAAAUUAAUAGGGAUAAGGAACUAGGCCUUGAUAGGUAUGGGAGCCAAUUCUUCAAAGAUUGCUGGGGUAUGAUCACGGAAGACAGGAAUUUUUCAACUCAGGAAAGUUGCUAAGAGUAUGGAACCACACUGUGAUAACAUUGAUUCCUAAGAGUGAUCAUGCUGAGAGUGGGGGUGACUAUAGGCCAAUAGCUUGCUGCAAUGCUAUAUAUAGAUUGAUUUCGAAGGUGCUCUCGAAUAGAUUAAGGAAGGUGUUACCAAGCAUAAUAUCGGCCAAUCAGAGUGCUUUUGUGGAAGGAAGAACAAUUGUGUAAAAUGUUCUUAUAUGCCAGGAUCUGGUUAGGUUAUACAAUAGGAAGAGCAGUACCAAAAGUUUCCUAAUCAAAAUUGAUUUGAAGAAGGCAUAUGACUCAAAUAGGGGUUUGUAGAAGAGAUGUCGCAUGCUCUUAACUUUACUCCUCAAUUUAUAAAAUGGACUCUGACCUGUAAUUCAACCACCUAGUGUACAAUUGCAACUAAUGGAGGAGUAUAUGGAUGCAUUGUUGACACCCAAUUUUGUCCCGUCUCUCCUCCGAAAUACCUAUUUUUAAGCUUCUAAUAUUUUUGGAAAAAAUAAAAAAAAAUAUAUAUUAUGUUUACUAUAAUUAUUAGCCUCUUAUCAAUACCGCCAUUGUAUCAUUCUAUCAAUUAUUAUUAUUUACCGUAUUCUUAUUAUUAUUAUUAUUAUUAUUAUUUUUUUUUUUUAUUAUUAUUAUUAUUACUAUUAUAGUUCACAAUUUUUAUCAUUUCAGUAUUUUACCAGCUUACGCACACGCAUCGCAUUUAUCUUUGCAUAAUUAAAUAAUAGUAUUUAUUUUACUGUGGAUUUUUCGCAAUAUUAUUGCACUGCUAUUACAACGCCAUUUUUUAUCUAAGCAUUAAUGACGACAUAUUCCAUAUUGAGCAAUAUUUUAACAGAAGUUAUUUAAACAAGUCUUUUAUUUAAAUUUAGAAGCCAAACUAUUUCUUGCACUCAGUCCGUAUUUCGAUUUAUCGGAUUCCAAAUCAAAGUCCAAUCAAUUCAUAAAUAUUUUUUAACCAGCCUAUAUUUUUACCUUAAUUUUUAGACCAGUCCGUGUUUUAAUUCGUUAGCCCAUUCUUUUAAUACCCGGUCUAAAAAUUGACCCGGUCCGUAAAUGAACCGGGUCUGACCCAUUUCAGUGAAAAUAAGGGGAACCCUUUUAGGGUUUCCCCUCAUUUCCCCCCCACCUUCCUCCGCCUCCCUCUUCAUCGUCACCUCCUCGUCUCCGCCUCCCCUCCCCUCUUUCCUCUCAUCUCCGCCACGGCUCUCCCUUCCCCUCCUCCCUUUUUCGCCCGCCGCUCCUUUCCUUCAUCCCUUCCCUUUCCCUUAACCCUCCAAAACCCUAGCGCCGCAACCCUCUUCCCCCCACGUUACCCCCACUACUUUUCCGACAUCAUCACACCCAUAUCCAUCAUCUCCACUCACGCCCGACAUCUCCACUCCUCACUACCAUUCCACUUCAUCGUGUCGCUCCUCUGCCAUCCCUCUGUUCCACUCCAUCCUCACCACGUGACCCCCAUCCUGCACCCAUACCUCUGACACCACGUGACCAUCAUCUCCACCACACCCAUACCCCCACGUGCUCUGACAUCACCACGUUACUUCUCCCUCUGCUCCUUUCACCAUUUUUGUCUUGAACCCAAAACCCUAUAAAAUGGGGUUGAUUCAUCGAUAAAAAGGGGGAUUUUUUUGGGAUUCAAAAUUCCCAAAGAGCCGAUUUUCUUUCAGUUCAAGAAAUCCUCUGCGAAAUAUUUUGUUUAGUUGUCACAAUAUCGCAAAAAUAUCGAAUCAAAAUACUCAAACGAUUUUUCGUCUGUUCUGUGUUUGUUGCGAAUCCGAGUUUCGCAACCUCGAAUUUGAAGUGUUUCGAGUGUGAAUCGAAGACCCGCACCCACUUCGCUGCACCCGAAGAAGGUCCGUAAUUUUCUUGUCCCUUUUAAUUUCUUAGGCUCCGUAGUAGUUAGAUGCUGAUUGUGUGCUUAGAUCAGACUUGAAUAUGUGGAAAAUGUGUUUAUUAUCUUGGUUUAGUUAGACAUGCGAUAUUGUGAUUAUGUUAAUACCGUUAGCUUUAGUUUGGAUGCGCAAUGAGGUCACAUUUAGCCUAUGAUUUUAUUGAAUAACAUACUGUUCUAAGCCUGAUUGUAUGCUUAAUUUGCUGUUAAUUAUAUGAUUGGCAUAUUUGUUAGUAUAAUUUUACUUUAGACAUGUACUCGGUUGUGCAUCAGCUUAGUAUUAUGUGUUAUAAUUAGUAUAUAUUAGCCUUAAAUUCCUGUAGCAUGACUGGAGCAUGAUUAGUGUACAGUCCAUAGAAAUAUAUAUGAUUUAUGAUUCAUUCUAUUUAAAUUUCCUAAGUUAGCUAUAUGUUCGAUUAAUGUGGCUAUAUUCAGCAUGUAAUGUUAAGCGUGUAACCCUGUUUGGAUCUUUAUGUUUGUAAGUUUAGGAAUGUAUGAAAGUAUGUUCGUCUUGUUUUCUUUAUGUGGUACUGUCAAUAUGAGUUUCUUUGUAUAAAUACAUGAACUGUCGAUUUGAAGAUCCCACAUCAGUCUUAGCAUGUUAUUCAGUCAAGACUGCCCUCAGAAUGCCUAUGCUUGGAUUGUUUGCUAGUUUAGUUAGCUUGCAUAUAUGAUUGAAGCAUAUGGACACUGUUGUGUGAUGAUGCUAUUGAACCAUGAUGUUAAAUUAUGUGUAAGUUUGUUUGAGUCUACCUAGACCUAAGGCUAUGCCCAUUGAGGCUAAAUGACAUAUGAAUUGGCUUAUUAUAUGGUCAAGACCCCCUUUAUGCUCCCCUUAAUGACCCUGCCUAAGUUACAGAAUCUAUGUAGUCAAGUUUGUUGUUAAAUUGGUUUGUGGAUCCCUAAGAUAACUGUUGGUGGCUGAGACUCAAAGCAUUAUUUAUGAUUGCCUGCAGUUGGCCUUUGUUGAUGAAUCAUCAUGUUAUUACUUCGCAGUUGCCAUCUAUGGUUGUUUAUUGUCAUUGUUUGUUGUAGCUUGGUCAUCAGUUGUUGCUUUGCUCUUAAAAGAAGCAUAUUGAUGCUAGGAACUGAUUCUUACAUUCUUGUGAUCGAGUUGCAGCCUCGUUCGCUAUUUAAAUUGAUGCUUAAAAUGAGUAUGUAUGUUACAUUUGAUGCAAUAGCUGCAUUUAUAACUUUUCUGCCUUCUUAGAAGAAACAGAUUAUUAUACUUAUCACUGAUCUGAGUGAAAACUCCAGGCCUUACACUUGUUUCUGUUUUUUUUUUUCUAAUUUCACUUGCGUGCUUACAUUGGUUUUCUUUUACCCCUAUGACCAUGAGUUGCAUCCCUAUGACUACUUUAUUACUUUUCUAUAUGCUGUGUGACUCCAUGUAAGUCUCCCUUUAAUUCCCGUUAACGCGUAUGUGCGCACCGCUGCUGUUUGCCUACGGAUUAUGCAUAUGUAUACUCGAAGUACACUUAAUGUAUAUAUACAUCACUUGUGUGCAAUGCAUAGUCUGUAUUUCAGUUUGUUUUGCUCAAAUUUCGUGUGUUUGUUGUAAGUAUAUUCCAGUUGAAAAAUCUGCAUAUAAAUGCAUAUCGAAGUUGUGCACUUGGAUAUACAUAAUAUACAUAAUCAACAGAGUUGUUUUGAAUUCAUAUAUUUGUAUGCUUAAUCUUAUUGACCAUAUACUAAUCCCUUUUCUCUCAUAUCGUUUAUGCAUGAACCUCAUAUACGAGUCCGAGGGACUCGUCUUCCGCAUUCGCCGAUGUUGGGCCAAGGCCCAACGAAACAGCCUCUCCUUUUCGUCCAGCCCUUCUUCUCACAGCAAAAGAAAAAUGGGAAACACAAGUUCUGGGCCAAGGCCCAAUAUGCAUGACAACAGCAGCAGUCUCGAAUGGGCUGACCCAUUUGAUAUUUAUUUCCCUCUUUUAUUUUAUUUUGUGCACAUUAAUUUGUAUUAUGCAACUAACUCUUUGCUUGUUUUGUUUUCUUAAUUUAGAUAAAUCCUAAUGAAUUAAUAGGUUUAGUUUUA